rnacentral:rRNA from 1 species
GACGUAGGGUCCAAGCGUUAUCCGGAUUUACUGGGCGUAAAGCGCGCGUAGGCGGUCUGUUAAGUGCACAAGUGGAAGCUCCGGGCUCAACUCGGAAAUUGCUUUGCAUACUGGCAGGCUGGAGGGACGCAGAGGUCUGUGGAAUUCCUGGUGUAACGGUGAAAUGUGUUGAUAUCAGGAGGAACACCCAUGGCGAAGGCAGCAGACUGGGCGUUUCCUGACGCUGAGGCGCGAAAGCGUGGGUAGCAAACAGG